rnacentral:rRNA from 1 species
GAUGAACGCUAGCGGCAGGCCUAAUACAUGCAAGUCGAGGGGUAGUGGUCGCUUGCAGCCAUGAGACCGGCGCACGGGUGCGUAACGCGUAUGCAACCUACCUUCAUCUGGGGGAUAGCCCGGAGAAAUCCGGAUUAAUACCGCAUAAAAUCACAGUACGGCAUCGUACAAUGAUCAAACAUUUAUGGGAUGGAGAUGGGCAUGCGUGUCAUUAGUUAGUUGGCGGGGUAACGGCCCACCAAGACCGCGAUGACUAGGGGAUCUGAGAGGAUGACCCGCCACACUGGUACUGAGACACGGACCAGACUCCUACUGGAGGCAGCAGUAAGGAAUAUUGGUCAAUGGGCGCAAGCCUGAACCAGCCAUGCCGCGUGCAGGAAGACGGCCCUCUGGGUUGUAAACUGCUUUUAUUCGGGAAUAAACCUGCUUACGUGUAAGUAGCUGAAUGUACCGAAGGAAUAAGGAUCGGCUAACUCCGUGCCAGCAGCCGCAGUAACAC